rnacentral:rRNA from 1 species
UACGAAGGGGGCUAGCGUUGCUCGGAUUGACUGGGCGUAAAGGGCGCGUAGGCGGUUCGUACAGUCAGACGUGAAAUUCCUGGGCUCAACCUGGGGGCUGCGUUUGAUACGUGCGGACUUGAGUGCGGAAGAGGGUCGUGGAAUUCCCAGUGUAGAGGUGAAAUUCGUAGAUAUCGGGAGGAACACCAGUGGCGAAGGCGGCGAUCUGGGUCGAUACUGACGCUGAGGUGCGAAAGCGUGGGGAGCAAAUAGG